rnacentral:lncRNA from 1 species
AUCGACAAUUCGGACUUUGUACCUGAAAAGCUGUUGGCCCUAAAAUCAAAAACCCACAAAUCAGGCCUAAUUUUUUUAAUGAAAAAAAAUGUAUUUGUGUCUGGAAGCAAAGAGAUGGCAGAAGAGACUGUUAACAACAUGGACAUGCCAAAGAGGUCCAGUCAAAACUGGACAGCGAAUGUCCAUCGAAUCUGCAUUUGCGAAUGCAGUGUGUGACCCUUCAGACAAUGCAUCAAAUUCUAGUGACGAUGACGAAGAGGAUGACCAUUUCCCAUGUACAGUAGAAGUAGAACACAACUUUUAGAAGUAGAACACAAUAUAUCUGGAAUUAAUUUUCAUUGUAUGUAUGUAUGUAUGUACGCAUAUCCAUAAUUUACUCUUUUGAUAUUACAUGUUGCAAACUA